GAGGAAGUAAACAUUUCCAAGAUUGCCAGAGCUAAAGGAGAUACCCAAAACAAGACUGAUUCUAUUGAUUGUAAGUUUUCUGUCGAAGGAACCGCUGAGCUAGAGCCAGUCCGACUGAUUCUAUUGAAACUACAAGCAUAAUAUCUUAGGUUGAAGGGUUUCUCUACAUCUCUAAGAGGAAGUCACUGCUUCUCCAACCCCCACUUCACCUGUAGUAAGGAUUUGCACAUGAAGGAAUCUGUCUGACCAACUAUGUUUCCUCUCUCUCCAGAACCCCCACUCAGAGAAGAUGCCAAGACAUUCCUCUGUUUGCCCAUUAGCAGCCAGGGAUAUAUGCAAGCCAGUUUGAAGACUUCUGUGUUGAAAACAAAUAGUUGUGUUAUUGUGUAAGAGGAAGAUUAUGUGUGUGUCAUCAUUUUGUGCUAAGUCUUCUCUAAAUGAAAACUUGAUUAGUCCUAAGUCUAAUCCAAGUUUUCAUUUCAUUUCCUAUAAGUGAACCCCCUAUCCCCUAAAUCUAGUGUCUCUGUUCCGUCUCUGGCUUCUCUUUUUCCUUUAAUUCUGUGCAUCUUUCCAGACAUUUCCUGUGUAUGGAACACUGGGUAGGGAACGAAGGAAACAUAAGAUAAAAAGUGAUCCUUGUUUCUGAGCACCUCAGAGUUUUGUGUGGGGAGGUAGACACAUAAACUCCAUUUCCCUGAGGUUUGGGGUUUUGAGCUCAUCACCACCCUCCCCCUGUAGUUUCUCUUAUUCCUGUUUUGUUUUAUUUUUAAUAUAUUUUUUAGUUGUAGUUGGAUACAAUACCUUUAUUUUAUUCAUUUUUAUGUGGUGUUGAGGAUCAAACCUAGCGUCUCGCAC
rnacentral:lncRNA from 1 species